CCUACGGGUGGCAGCAGUGAGGAAUCUUGGUCAAUGGGCGCGAGCCUGAACCAGCCAAGUAGCGUGAAGGAUGACUGCCCUACGGGUUGUACACUUCUUUUAUAAAGGAAUAAAGUGAGGCAAGUGUGCCUUUUUGUAUGUACUUUAUGAAUAAGGAUCGGCUAACCGCGUGCCAGCAGCCGCGGUAAUACGGAGGAUCCGAGCGUUAUCCGGAUUUAUUAGGGUUAAAGGGAGCGUAGAUGGGUUGUUAAGUCAGUUGUGAAAGUUUGCGGCUCAACCGUAAAAUUGCAAUUGAUACUGGCAGCCUUGAGUACAGUUGAGGUAGGCGGAAUUCGUGGUGUAGCAGUGAAAUGCGUAGAUAUCACGAAGAACUCCGAUUGCGAAGGCAGCUUACUAAACUGCCACUGACAUUGAUGCUCGAAAGUGUGGGUAUCAAACAGGAUUAGAUACCCUGGUAGUC
rnacentral:rRNA from 1 species